UGACGGUAACUUACCAGAAAGGGACGGCUAACUACGUGCCAGCAGCCGCGGUAAUACGUAGGUCCCGAGCGUUGUCCGGAUUUAUUGGGCGUAAAGCGAGCGCAGGCGGUUUAAUAAGUCUGAAGUUAAAGGCAGUGGCUUAACCAUUGUUCGCUUUGGAAACUGUUAGACUUGAGUGCAGAAGGGGAGAGUGGAAUUCCAUGUGUAGCGGUGAAAUGCGUAGAGAUUGGGAGGAACACCAGUGGCGAAGGCGACUUACUGGACUGUAACUGACGCUGAGGCGCGAAAGCGUGGGGAGCAAACAGGAUUAGAUACCCUG
rnacentral:rRNA from 1 species